rnacentral:rRNA from 1 species
GUUGUAUGGUUAAGUGACUAAGCGUACACGGUGGAUGCCUGGGCAGUCAGAGGCGAUGAAGGACGUACUAACUUGCGAUAAGCGCAGAUAAGGCAGUAAGAGCCGUUUGAGUCUGCGAUUUCCGAAUGGGGAAACCCAACUGCAUAAGCAGUUACUGUUAACUGAAUACAUAGGUUAACAGAGCAAACCGGGGGAACUGAAACAUCUAAGUACCCCGAGGAGAAGAAAUCAACCGAGAUUCCGGUAGUAGCGGCGAGCGAACCUGGAUUAGCCCUUAAGCACUCGGUGAAGUAGGUGAACAAGCUGGAAAGCUUGGCGAUACAGGGUGAUAGCCCCGUAACCGACGCUUCAUCGAGCGUGAAAUCGAGUAGGGCGGGACACGUGAUAUCCUGUCUGAAUAUGGGGGGACCAUCCUCCAAGGCUAAAUACUCCUGACUGACCGAUAGUGAACCAGUACCGUGAGGGAAAGGCGAAAAGAACCCCUGUGAGGGGAGUGAAAUAGAACCUGAAACCGUGUACGUACAAGCAGUAGGAGCACCUUCGUGGUGUGACUGCGUACCUUUUGUAUAAUGGGUCAGCGACUUAUAUUCAGUGGCAAGGUUAACCGUAUAGGGGAGCCGUAGCGAAAGCGAGUCUUAACUGGGCGCUCAGUCUCUGGAUAUAGACCCGAAACCGGGUGAUCUAGCCAUGGGCAGGUUGAAGGUUGAGUAACAUCAACUGGAGGACCGAACCGACUAAUGUUGAAAAAUUAGCGGAUGACUUGUGGCUAGGGGUGAAAGGCCAAUCAAACUCGGAGAUAGCUGGUUCUCCCCGAAAGCUAUUUAGGUAGCGCCUCGGACGAAUACUACUGGGGGUAGAGCACUGUUAAGGCUAGGGGGUCAUCCCGACUUACCAACCCUUUGCAAACUCCGAAUACCAGUAAGUACUAUCCGGGAGACACACGGCGGGUGCUAACGUCCGUCGUGGAGAGGGAAACAACCCAGACCGCCAGCUAAGGUCCCAAAGUAUUGCUAAGUGGGAAACGAUGUGGGAAGGCUCAGACAGCUAGGAUGUUGGCUUAGAAGCAGCCAUCAUUUAAAGAAAGCGUAAUAGCUCACUAGUCGAGUCGGCCUGCGCGGAAGAUGUAACGGGGCUAAGCAAUACACCGAAGCUGCGGCAAUG